CAUCUUUAUUGCUAUUCAUCUUGAUCUUCUUAAUAUAUGCUUUUUAUGUUCGAUAGGUGUUUACGCAAAAAAGUACUUGUAGUGCCUAUCACGUAUUCUGUUUUGUAGGACAGACUAAAGAUACCACAUUUCCUAUUGUUGUCCAGGUAUGCAAGUUUAAAGAAUUGCAGUGAAGUGGUUAGUAAGCAUAGUCUGAAGCCUGGGUGAAUUUUCACGUUGAAAUUGUUAGCCCUUCACUGGUAGACAGACCUAUAGUUGCUUGCAUUCAAUAUAGGAAUAUGGUUUAUGCUACAUCAUUUGCCUUAUCUUUGCUUAAAGAGAUCGAUCAUGCACGUCACUUGAUUGUUUCCUUCCAUAUAUUCAUCUAAAUUUUCAACAAUUGUUUUAAUAAAAUUUGUGACCUUGAAUGUUGUAGUGUGUUCCAUUCUCCAUGAGUAUAUCCACAGUUUUGUGUUUGUUUUGGCUUAUGUGGAAUAUUGAGAUGAUUCCUCAAAAUUGGAAAGACUAAAUUGGUACCUUUAUAGCUCUUAUCAUUGAACUACUAAAUAACACAAAAAUAAUAAACAACUGCAAUGGAAAAUGAUUGACUUACAACCAUCCUUUAGAUUGUUGCCUUGUACUAAGUAAAAUGUAAAGGUGGGCAUGAACAUGUUUUUGUAACAACGAAUAGAUUUGUUUCUUGUUGAUUUGAUGCCUCCAGGCAUGAGCAAUGGAGCAUUUUAAAAGUAUAAAUUUUACCUUCUUCAAGUGUUCAUUGUUCAUUUCCUCCAUGGAUCCUCGGAUCUGCUAUGCUACACCUUUUACCACUGCUCAACUUAACAGUGUGCCUGCUCCAUUAAUGUUAUUUUUUUCUUCCUUUUUCAUUCCUAGAUUCCGAGUAGCAUGAUAAAUAAAAAGAGGUACAGCACUAGGAGCCUUUUGGACAUAAUCCGAUUGAAAAGAACGGCAAAAAUUAGCUGGUUGAUGUUUUCUUUCCACCCCAAUUCAGCAAGCUGCUGGUACUCCAAACAUGAGGGAAGGUGUGUCAAGGUUGUCUCCAAAAGGACAUCCAAAGCAUCGAGUUGGCCAAGACACAGAGGUUGAAGAUAAACAAGGAUCUGUGCGCAAGUAUUUACUCAAGGAUGGAGAACCAUCUGGUCACGUCUCAAAUGUUUCUUGUCCUGUGUCUAUUGUCGUCGUGCAUCUUUUUUUCCCCCCAACUGCGCUGAAAUGAUUACAUGAAGGGACGUCCACAAUGAAGUAGAUGUUCCCAUUCAAGAAGUGACGAUUUUGGAACUAGACGGUAACGGAAGUCUUCCUCACUCUACAACUUUGUAGGUAGUAAUUAUGCAACUAGACAUAAUGUUGUCCCGCCCUCCAAAGUGGAUU